rnacentral:tRNA from 1 species
AGUAAUGUGACCGAAAUAGGUGAUAAACUGUAAAUUUAUUUAUGAAUUAAUAUUCCUUUACU